rnacentral:rRNA from 1 species
GAUGAACGCUGGCGGCGUGCCUAAUACAUGCAAGUCGAGCGAACAGACGAGGAGCUUGCUCCUCUGACGUUAGCGGCGGACGGGUGAGUAACACGUGGAUAACCUACCUAUAAGACUGGGAUAACUUCGGGAAACCGGAGCUAAUACCGGAUAAUAUAUUGAACCGCAUGGUUCAAUAGUGAAAGACGGUUUUGCUGUCACUUAUAGAUGGAUCCGCGCCGCAUUAGCUAGUUGGUAAGGUAACGGCUUACCAAGGCAACGAUGCGUAGCCGACCUGAGAGGGUGAUCGGCCACACUGGAACUGAGACACGGUCCAGACUCCUACGGGAGGGAGCAGUAGGGAAUCUUCCGCAAUGGGCGAAAGCCUGAAGGAGCAAAGCCGCGUGAGUGAUGAAGGUCUUCGGAUCGUAAAACUCUGUUAUUAGGGAAGAACAAAUGUGUAAGUAACUAUGCACGUCUUGACGGUACCUAAUCAGAAAGCCACGGCUAACUACGUG